UUUUUUAGGUUUUUUUUCCCGGAGAGGGAGCCUGAGAAACGGCUACCACAUCACAAGGAAGGCAGCAGGCGCGCAAAUUACCCAAUCCCGACACGGGGAGGUAGUGACAAUAAAUACUGAUACGGGGCUCUUUCGGGUCUCGUAAUUGGAAUGAGUACAAUCUAAAUCCCUUAACGAGGAACAAUUGGAGGGCAAGUCUGGUGCCAGCAGCCGCGGUAAUUCCAGCUCCAAUAGCGUAUAUUAAAGUUGUUGCAGUUAAAAAGCUUGUAGUUGAACCUUGGGUCUGGCUGGCCGGUCCGCCUCACCGCGAGUCCUGGUCCGGCUGGACCUUUCCUUCUGGGGAAUCCCAUGGCCUUCACUGGCUGUGGGGGGAACCAGGACUUUUACUGUGAAAAAAUUAGAGUGUUCAAAGCAGGUCUUUGCUUGAAUACAUUAGCAUGGAAUAAUAGAAUUGGACGUGCGGUUCUAUUUUGUUGGUUUCUAGUACCGCCGUAAUGAUUAAUAGGGAUAGUCGGGGGCGUCAGUAUUCAGCUGUCAGAGGUGAAUUUCUUGGAGUUCUAUCCG
rnacentral:rRNA from 1 species